rnacentral:rRNA from 1 species
AGCAGCCGCGGUAAUUCCAGCUCCAAUAGCGUAUAUUAAAGUUGUUGCAGUUAAAAAGCUCGUAGUUGAAUUUCGAGACCGGUCUACUGGUCGUGCUUUUGUACGUACUGGUUUUAUUGGUUUCUCCUUUCUGACGAACUAUAAUGCCAUUAAUUUGGUGUUAUAGGGAAUCAGGACUGUUACUUUGAAAAAAU